rnacentral:rRNA from 1 species
UACGAAGGGGGCUAGCGUUGCUCGGAAUCACUGGGCGUAAAGCGCGCGUAGGCGGAUUGCUAAGUCAGGGGUGAAAUCCUGGAGCUCAACUCCAGAACUGCCUUUGAUACUGACGAUCUCGAGUCCGGGAGAGGUGAGUGGAACUGCGAGUGUAGAGGUGAAAUUCGUAGAUAUUCGCAAGAACACCAGUGGCGAAGGCGGCUCACUGGCCCGGUACUGACGCUGAGGUGCGAAAGCGUGGGGAGCAAACAGG